GGUGAGUAACGCGUGGGAACGUACCUUUUGGUUCGGAACAACACAGGGAAACUUGUGCUAAUACCGGAUAAGCCCUUACGGGGAAAGAUUUAUCGCCGAAAGAUCGGCCCGCGUCUGAUUAGCUAGUUGGUGAGGUAAUGGCUCACCAAGGCGACGAUCAGUAGCUGGUCUGAGAGGAUGAUCAGCCACAUUGGGACUGAGACACGGCCCAAACUCCUACGGGAGGCAGCAGUGGGGAAUAUUGGACAAUGGGCGCAAGCCUGAUCCAGCCAUGCCGCGUGAGUGAUGAAGGCCCUAGGGUUGUAAAGCUCUUUUGUGCGGGAAGAUAAUGACGGUACCGCAAGAAUAAGCCCCGGCUAACUUCGUGCCAGCAGCCGCGGUAAUACGAAGGGGGCUAGCGUUGCUCGGAAUCACUGGGCGUAAAGGGUGCGUAGGCGGGUCUUUAAGUCAGGGGUGAAAUCCUGGAGCUCAACUCCAGAACUGCCUUUGAUACUGAAGAUCUUGAGUCCGGGAGAGGUGAGUG
rnacentral:rRNA from 2 species